UGGUGGCUGGUGGCCGCGCCUGAC
rnacentral:misc_RNA from 1 species